GCUGUGUUUGUAACCAAGUGUCAGGAAUGUGGCUUUCCUUUGCCCAUGUUUAUUUGCUUCCUCAAAUGUCUUUCCUGCCCUCCUGUUUCUGGGGAGGAGCCGAGGUGUGGGUGUUACGUGUUGAGAAGAACUGCCAAUAGGAGUGGAAAAUGCCUGUGGAUCUUUACUAAACCCCUUUUCCUUCUACUUCUUGCCAGGUUAAUUCUUCACACGUGCUAGUCCCAGUUUCUCUGCUGAUAUGCUAUUCCCAGGAACUUGUUCUGUAUUUCAGGGUAUUGUUUGGUUAUGUUUGCCAUCUGAGAUACAAGAUGGAGUAAUACAUGCCUUGUUCUGAGUGAAAUCUCGUAAUUCUUGUCUGGUAAUCCUUGUCUGAUUGCCUGUCAGGAGGAAUUUCGGGGUGAAAGUUGAUGUAGACCAAAGUGUACAUUUCUGUCUUUCAAAAUGAAAGAAAUCUCUUUGCCUUUGAGGUUAUAUAAGUUAGAAAUGAUUCAUCUGAAAUAAAGCGGUGUAAACGUGGAAGGUUUUCUUACUUGUUGCAUUGUCCGCUAUCUGUAAAUGCCUCUUUAUCUCGGGAAGAGUGAACAAUGGUAAGAAGGCACCGCUGACAGUUGCUGAGGUCAUUGUUCCUUCAGAAUGGCCAGUGUUCUGGCUCCUGCUGUUCUUUCCCUCCCAGCAUUAUGAGGAUAUCUUCUAAAUGGUUGGGUUACUGCUCGUGUGAGCGCCAUCUUUGGCUGUACAUCCAGCUCUGUUGGCAUCAGGGUUGGUGUGUGAUGGGGACAGAAACGUGUGGUCAAGCAGCGAGUUGGAGCAGCUGGAAUCUCCUGCAGUGCUGCUGAGGCUUGUGAGGUAGGCAGGCUGAUGGAAUCCACUGUCGUGUUCCGCUGCCCCCCCUACCAUUCCCCCUUUGUUGCUGGAAGAUCUCUGAGUAAAACUGCUGGCUGACUUGCUUUGCUGGGAGUGAAAUGCUCAGCUUCUGAGUAGCUGGAAGUAAGCAUUUAAUUUUUUUGUUGUUGUUAUAGAAAAAUACCACUUUUCAAUUCACAGGGAGCCACAAACUUAGCAUGAAUCCAGGUUUUACUUUCUCUAUCUUUUAG
rnacentral:lncRNA from 1 species